GACGAACGCUGGCGGCGCGCCUAACACAUGCAAGUCGAACGAGCGAGCGAGAGCUUGCUUUCUCAAGCGAGUGGCGAACGGGUGAGUAACGCGUGAGGAACCUGCCUCAAAGAGGGGGACAACAGUUGGAAACGACUGCUAAUACCGCAUAAGCCAACAGGUCGGCCUCGACCAGAGGGAAAAGGAGCAAUCCGCUUUGAGAUGGCCUCGCGUCCGAUUAGCCAGUUGGUGAGGUAACGGCCCACCAAGGCAACGAUCGGUAGACGGACUGAGAGGUUGAACGGCCACAUUGGGACUGAGACACGGCCCAGACUCCUACGGGAGGCAGCAGUGGGGAAUAUUGCACAAUGGGGGAAACCCUGAUGCAGCGACGCCGCGUGGAGGAAGAAGGUCUUCGGAUUGUAAACUCCUGUUGUUGAGGAAGAUAAUGACGGUACUCAACAAGGAAGUGACGGCUAACUACGUG
rnacentral:rRNA from 1 species